GAUGAACGCUGGCGGCGUGCCUAAUACAUGCAAGUCGAGCGAACAGAUGAGGAGCUUGCUCCUCUGACGUUAGCGGCGGACGGGUGAGUAACACGUGGAUAACCUACCUAUAAGACUGGGAUAACUUCGGGAAACCGGAGCUAAUACCGGAUAAUAUAUUGAACCGCAUGGUUCAAUAGUGAAAGACGGUUUUGCUGUCACUUAUAGAUGGAUCCGCGCCGCAUUAGCUAGUUGGUAAGGUAACGGCUUACCAAGGCAACGAUGCGUAGCCGACCUGAGAGGGUGAUCGGCCACACUGGAACUGAGACACGGUCCAGACUCCUACGGGAGGCAGCAGUAGGGAAUCUUCCGCAAUGGGCGAAAGCCUGGCGGAGCAACGCCGCGUGAGUGAUGAAGGUCUUCGGAUCGUAAAACUCUGUUAUUAGGGAAGAACAAAUGUGUAAGUAACUAUGCACGUCUUGACGGUACCUAAUCAGAAAGCUACGGCUAACUACGUG
rnacentral:rRNA from 1 species